rnacentral:rRNA from 1 species
UACGUAGGGGGGCAAGCGUUGUCCGGAAUCAUUGGGCGUAAAGAGCGUGUAGGCGGCCCGAUAAGUCCGCCGUGAAAGUCCAGGGCUCAACCCCUGGAAUGCCGGUGGAAACUGUUCGGGCUGGAGUCCGGAAGAGGCGAGUGGAAUUCCGGUGUAGCGGUGAAAUGCGCAGAUAAUCGGGAGGAACACGGUGGCGAAGG